AUACUUACGCGGUAGCGUAGUUGCACACAAAUAUGAUUCCAGGAUUAGAGGAAAAGCUUGUGUCAACCACACCGUUUGGACAUGCUUGUGCAGCACAGCCGACCUUGAGUAAAUGUGGGGUGCAUGCGGCCCGGCUGCUGAAGAUGAGGGUUAUGUUUGAAGAUGCAGUUACUCGCCCACGCCCGAGCACUUAUCGCCAGAGCCUCAUCCCACGUCUGCAAAAACAAGAGCCUGAAUCAAUACUACAGCCACAGUUCAUACAGUUCCCGUGAGUGCCAAGAGGAGGAGCUGUUAAUUCUGAAUGAACGUCAUAUGCCCACCCCCAACUAGAGAUUACGCCAGCUACAUCGGAAAAUCCCGUGCC